rnacentral:rRNA from 1 species
UACGUAGGCAGCGAGCGUUGUUCGGAAUUACUGGGCGUAAAGAGUGUGUAGGCGGUGUUCCCAGUCUGUUGUGAAAUCUCCCGGCUUAACUGGGAGGGUGCAGCGGAAACUAGAAUGCUAGAGGGUGGGAGAGGUAAGCGGAAUUCCUGGUGUAGCGGUGAAAUGCGUAGAUAUCAGGAGGAACACCGGUGGUGCAAACGGCUUUCUGGACCGUAACUGACGCUGAGACACGAAAGCGUGGGGAGCAAACAGG